AGAGUUUGAUCAUGGCUCAGAACGAACGUUGGCGGUGUGGAUUAGGCAUGCAAGUCGCGCGCGAAAGCCUUCGGGCAAGUAAAGCGGCGGACGGGCGAGUAACGCGUAAUCAACCUACCCUCGAGACCGGAAUAGCCACUGGAAACGGUGGGUAAUGCCGGAUUGUCCCGCGGAUCGGCAUCGAACUGCGGGUAAACGGUGGCGUAAGCUGCUGCUCGGGGAGGGGAUUGCGUCCUAUCAGCUUGUUGGUGAGGUCAUGGCUCACCAAGGCGAUGACGGGUAGCUGGUCUGAGAGGACGACCAGCCGCACUGGGACUGAGAUACUGCCCAGACUCCUACGGGAGGCUGCAGUCGAGAAUCUUCCGCAAUGGGCGAAAGCCUGACGGAGCGACACCGCGUGCAGGACUAAGGCCCUCGGGUUGUAAACUGCUGUCGCGCUAUAGGAAUGUCAUGUCGUUAAUAGCUGCAUGAUUGACCAAAGCGAAAGGAAGUGGCGGCUAACUCUGUGCCAGCAGCCGCGGUAAGACAGAGGCCACAAACGUUGUUCGGAAUCACUGGGCAUAAAGCGCACGUAGGCGGCUAGGUAGGUCCGAUGUGAAAGCCCCCGGCUCAACCGGGGAACUGCAUCGGAAACCACCUGGCUUGAGGACGGUUGGGGUGAGUGGAACUCCUGGUGGAGCGGUGAAAUGCGUAGAUAUCAGGAGGAACACCGGUGGCGAAAGCGGCUCACUGGACCGUUACUGACGCUGAGGUGCGAAAGCUAGGGGAGCAAACGAGAUUAGAUACCCCGGUAGUCCUAGCCGUAAAACGAUGGGCACUGGGUAGGGGGGAAGCCUAUGCUCUUCCCUGCCGAAGCAAAUGUAUUAAGUGCCCCGCCUGGGGAGUAUCGCUCGCAAUGGGUAAAACUCAAAGGAAUUGACGG
rnacentral:rRNA from 1 species